CCAGCCCAGGGAUAUAGCUGAGGUAGCUUUACCUUCUCUAUAGCCUCACCAAUUCCCAGGGGCUAGACAACCCCUCCUAGUAACUACCACAUUUGUGACUCACUAAUGCUGCUCACUCACUAAGAUCGAGAGUGACUGAAAAUCAGAGGAAAACUUUCCAUGCGGCCGCUACCCCAUCUCCAUGUUAAUAUGUUAACUAUAAUUAGCUUUUGCAUGGGUUUAUGUAGGCGUGUAACACAGUGAAAGGUGAAGUUCACAUUUUAGAGUUUUAUGUUUAUUGAUCCUGCUUGAGGAGAGAUAAUAAUUAACGUUAGUUCUCUAGUAAACCCAAAGGAAGUAUCACUGUAGCCCAGCUUGGAAAAGUUGCAAUAGUCAUUACUUUUGUGGCCCUUCCUGUUUAUUGCCAGUAGGAACAGAAUGUCUGGUAUCGAUGUCGGGAUCAUCUUGAAGUUCUGGAGAAAAAACAACAACCGAAAAGGACCAUAAGAAUUGCUCCUGGGGAAAUUCCACUGCAGGGAUGCAGAAUUCACCACCACUGCAUGCAUGCAAAAUUCAUACCCCCCACGGAUUUAUUUGCUUUCCUGCAGAAAAGGACCAAGAAGCAAAGGGAAGCCGCAAGAGUAGUCAUGCACUCCUCUCUAGCAGUGUCGGCAUGUUAUUUCAGGCACAUGGAGCAGCUAGUAGAGAGAAUUUCUAGCUAUGGUUGUGAAAGACGAUUAUCACAGCAUAUGACCUGAAGAUCGGUGUUACCUUUCCAUGAGGAUGCCACCCUCUCUGAACUGACAACCAGGCUUUGGAAGCACAAAUCAAGUAAUGCAUAGGGGAGAGCUUGCUGACAUUUUUUUCAUUGAAACAUUUUUUGGACCAAAAAUUGGCUUUUCUGACCAAAGUAAAAAUUUGUGUAGGAAAUUUUCAUUUUGGUGGAGAUUUUCCAGAUUUUUUGACAAAAAAUAAAAUAAAAACAAAAACCACCACAACAACCUGAAAAUAAAAACUCCUCAAUACAUUUUUUUGGUUUUCAACACAAAUUUUGUGCUAAACCCAAAGCUUUUUCUAUCCAUAUUUUUUUGAAAACCAAAAAUAUUUCAAUUUUGGUAUAGGUAUAAAACUGAGAAACAAAACAUUAAUGGGAAAUUUAAAACACAUUUUUUUUCAAAAUUUACUGUGAAAAAUACUUGGCAUUUUUUUGACCAGCUCUGGUAUAUCAUAUAUGCACAUUAAGCAUUUUUAAGUGAACUGUGAGAAACAUGAGUAAAUAAAAUAAAAUAUUAUAUAUUAUUAUAAUAUUAUAA